ACUAAGCUAUGUAAUAAGAAAUAUAUUUAGCGCUCAUAUUUUUGCUAAGUGUAUGGCCGAGCUUCUCCUUCCAUUUGCAGUAUGUGUCUUGACUUUAUAACUCGAAUGGAUUUUAUGUGAUAAGCUUUUUAGAAAAAACUUUUCGGAUCAGGGAUCGAAGUUUGGUCACACCGUGUGGAAGUUUGCACAUCUAAGAACUCGGCCACUGGGGUCGUGUUACCAAUGCUGAUUUUCAAAGAAACGAAGUGCCAAAGUUGCACGAAACACUUUUGGAACGUUCUGGUACGGGAAGACGAAAAGUUUGUGCUUAUAGCUAAGGUCGAAGGAAACGGGAACUCUCCAGCGCAAACACUGAACGUCUCUUGAUUCAAGUGGUAAACUUACAGCCGAGCGAAUAGCGUCGGUUGAGACUGCUGUGAACGGAAACAGGGCCAGAUUUACGGCCUUCGAUAGCCUUCAAGUGCAUUACCAGAAUAAAUAUCUCUCAAGCAGCAAACCGUCGUCAGACGUCAGGAGAAUAAGGAGGAAUUCGUGAAUCUGUGGCCGAGAGCUAAAGAGCAGUGAAGGUAACUUUAGUAACCGCCUAAGAAAGGUUCAAAUCGCCUGGGGCCUGGACUCGAUACUUUAUUGUGAUAGCCAAAGAUCAUAGGCCGCACGGAUGAAAGUCGGAUUUGUGUAUACGAAGAAAACUGGGUCUGUAUAGGCAAAACCAGUCCUACCAAGUGAUGCCGAAAUCGACUUCUUUACAGACGCUGGCUGGUUACAUAGAUAGUACGUAAGUGGCAUGACGAUGGUAGAACCGGGAAGAUAAAUAAAUUUGAGAUCGGUGAAAUAAUAUUAGUCUAUCCAAAAGCUUGUAUGAAAGUCCUUAAAGCUUGAGAUGUUUCAUAACGACCCAGGAAGAGAGAUGGGGGCCAUCUUGGAAACUUAAAAACGUGCAGUACAUAUCCACGAAAACAACGUACAUGUCUAAGCGAAAGAAACAAAAAAAAAAAU